AAAAAAAAAAAAAAAAAAAAAAAAAAAAGUCAUCAGAAAUUCAUCAAACAUGGAAUCCAAAGACUUGUUUACUAGUCUUGGUUCCAUAAUUGCCAGUGGAAUGUUUCUCUGGGCAAUGUUUCAGCAGUAUUUCCCUUAUGAACUUCGACACAACAUUGAAAAAUACUCUCAAAGAUUGGUCAGUUUCUUCUACCCUUACGUCCAAAUCACCUUCAAUGAGUUCACAGGUGACCGGUUCAUGCGAAAAAAAAAAAAAAAAAAAAAAAAAAAAAAGUCAUCAGAAAUUCAUCAAACAUGGAAUCCAAAGACUUGUUUACUAGUCUUGGUUCCAUAAUUGCCAGUGGAAUGUUUCUCUGGGCAAUGUUUCAGCAGUAUUUCCCUUAUGAACUUCGACACAACAUUGAAAAAUACUCUCAAAGAUUGGUCAGUUUCUUCUACCCUUACGUCCAAAUCACCUUCAAUGAGUUCACAGGUGACCGGUUCAUGCGUAGUGAAGCUUAUUCUGCAAUUGAGAAUUACCUCAGCUCCAAGUCAUCUACACAAGCAAAGAGACUCAAGGCUGAUAUAAUCAAAAACAGCAGCCAGUCACUUGUGCUAAGCAUGGACGACCAUGAAGAAGUUGCUGAUGAAUUCCAAGGAAUCAAACUCUGGUGGAGCUCGGGCAAACACAUAUCUAAGUCUCAGGUAUUUUCUUUCUAUCCGGCAACAGAUGAGAAGAGAUACUACAAGCUAACUUUCCAUAAACGUCACCGUGAUUUAAUCUUAGGUCCAUACUUGGUUAGUGUACUUAAAGAAGGCAGGGAAAUCAAGGUGAGAAAUAGGAUGAGAAAGCUUUAUACAAAUAAUGGUUCAAAUUGGGUUCAUGUAGUUUUCGAACACCCUGCAACAUUUCAAACACUUGCUAUGGAACCUGCAGAGAAGAAGG
rnacentral:lncRNA from 1 species